rnacentral:rRNA from 1 species
AUGUGGUUUAAUUCGAAGCAACGCGAAGAACCUUACCAGGGCUUGACAUCCCGAGGCCCGGACUAGAGAUAGUCCUUUCUCUUCGGAGACCUCGGUGACAGGUGGUGCAUGGUUGUCGUCAGCUCGUGUCGUGAGAUGUUGGGUUAAGUCCCGCAACGAGCGCAACCCUUAUUGUUAGUUGCUACGCAAGAGCACUCUAGCGAGACUGCCG